rnacentral:lncRNA from 1 species
ACUACAGACCGCAGAAAUAAAUGACAGUACACUGAUGGAGAUUGAAAUUCCUUCACUUUGACCCAGUCAACAAAGGAGCUUUCAACAUUUACAGGUGUCAGAGAAGUCAAGACCUGAAGAGAACCCAGCCAUGCAGUGUAGAGGGAAGAGCAGAGCUCAUAGAAAGUGUGUCCCAGCACUUUGGGAGGCCAAGCACACACCACCUUCAGAAGAAAAUGUUCUUUAUCUCGAUUGGGAUAUUGGCUACAAGAGGAUAUGCACAUACCAAAAGUCAAUGACCUGCACAAUUACAAUGUAUGAACUUCAUUGUAUUACACCUUAAUAAAAUUGAGCUUAAAAAAUUAUUUCAGGAAGUACUAUUUUCCAAUA